UCCAAGGGUUAUUUCAAGCUG
rnacentral:siRNA from 1 species